UACAGAGGGUGCGAGCGUUAAUCGGAAUUACUGGGCGUAAAGCGUGCGUAGGCGGUGAGUUAAGUCUGUCGUGAAAUCCCCGGGCUCAACCUGGGAAUGGCGAUGGAUACUGGCUCGCUAGAGUGUGAUAGAGGAUGGUGGAAUUCCCGGUGUAGCGGUGAAAUGCGUAGAGAUCGGGAGGAACAUCAGUGGCGGAAGGCGGCCAUCUGGAUCAACACUGACGCUGAGGCACGAAAGCGUGGGAGCAAACAGG
rnacentral:rRNA from 1 species